AACAGGGUGUGGUAGCUCAACCUCUAAUCCCUGCAACUGGAGAGGUGGGAGGAUCACUUGAACCCAGGAGUUGUAGUGAACUAAGAUUGUGUCACUAUACUCCAGGCUGGGUGACAGAGCAAAACCCUGUAUCUUUAAAAAAAAAAAAGAAAAGUGAAUUAACAGCAUUUCUAGAGGAAUUUGAAAUAAAGAAUGAAGGCAUUUCUGGAGUCCAAAUUGCUACAUAGGAGUAAAACUUGCAAAUAAGAAAACAGCUUUAAAAAAUUACCAGGAAAAUUAAGUAGGACAAACCACUAUAGGUAAUUUUUUUUAAAACAAAGUGAGGUCUCACUUUGAACUCCUGAGCUCAAGAGAUCAUCCUGCCUCCCAGGUUGCUGCGACUAUAGGAGUAUGCCUCUGAGCCCAGCUAGCCACUGUAGGGGAUUUUUAAAAUCCCAUCCUUGUACAGAUACAGCCCUUUAAAUUUUAUAAAGUUCUAGAAAUAAAGACUUACAUAGAAAUGAAAGCCAGGUAUGUAUUAGAAGAAAUAAUUCUCUAGUAAGAGAAGGCAUCUGUGACUGGGGUCCCCUAUAGCUAUGGCUGCUGCCACUGCUGCCUUGGCACACAGUGCCCCUGUCCCAGGAGGAAUUGCUCCCUGUCACAUAAUAAGGAAUAUAUAUGGGUAGAUGGUGAGAAAGUACUUAGUGGAUACAAUGUCUGUUACUCCAGUGAUGGAUACACUAAAAGUCCUGACUUCACCACUAUUCAGUAUCCAUGUGACAAAAUUACACUUGUACCCCAUACACUUAUGCAAAUAUAUAUAUAUUUGUUCUCUGCUCCUCUUUGGGAGUCUCUGAAGUGUAAGGGUCUUUAUGUAUGCUAAUGAGAUGACCGGUGGUUGGCUAACCUCAGGAUGGCAUGGGCAGGUUGCCAGGGGAACCAAUCAUGUGAUAAGAGGCUUUGAACUUUGAGCCCCAUCUCCCACUCUGCUGGGAGGGGAGAAGAGCUGGAGACUGAGGUAAUAAUCAACCAUGCCUACAGGAUGAAGCCGCUAUACAAAUCCCUAAAGUACAGGGGUCGGAAGAGCUUCCAGAAUCAGAUGUUGGGGAAGAGCAUGCAUGCAUUAUGAAAUAGACAAAAAUGUAUUACGGCUGUCAUGGAAGCAGCCCCUGCCAACUCCUACAUGCAUUGGACAGGAGGAGGAAGUGCCUACAGCAGCUUCAACCACAAGAUGGGGACUGCAGAGGAAAGAUCAGCAGUUCAUUUCCUUUGUGCAUUUUGGCUGUUAGACCUGUGUAUGUUUAAAAAAAAUAAAAAGCCAGGGCUCAUU